UACGGGGGGGGCAAGCGUUGUUCGGAAUUACUGGGCGUAAAGGGUUCGUAGGUGGCCAACUAAGUCGGACGUGAAAUCCCUCAGCUUAACUGGGGAACUGCGUCUGAUACUGGUUGGCUUGAGUGCAGGAGAGGAACGCGGAAUUCCAGGUGUAGCGGUGAAAUGCGUAGAUAUCUGGAGGAACACCGGUGGCGAAGGCGGCGUUCUGGACUGCAACUGACACUGAGGAACGAAAGCCAGGGGAGCAAACGGG
rnacentral:rRNA from 1 species